CCUACCUCCAGGAGCGGCGGAAAAGCAGAGACUUUCCAAUCGAGCCGACCUAAACCUUCCUGGCUUUGCUCCUAGCUCGCUGUGUGACUGUUGAUGCCCUGGUGGAGCGGAAGCGGGGUCAAUACCUCCACUGGCCAGCAGAGGACAGGCGAUGACCAGCCUUCUCGCCCAGUUGCGCAUCCUCUCCGGCGGCAGGCGCCAAGAGGGAAACAGGACUGGAUACAACUGCAGAAGCAACAAGUGAACCUUUAAAGAUGCAUAUGGGGCUGCACAAAGAGAAGAGAGAAACUGGAGAAACCAAGGAAAUGAGGAAAAAGUUUAAUAGGGAAAACCUGCUUUCUGCAAACAACUGAAAAAGCCGCCCUUGGAAGCUGUUUCUUUGGGCCUCAUGGAGCAGCUGGAACCUGUGCUGUGAGGCCUCCGACAGGAGGAACUGUCGCCCACUGAUCACCCAGCGCGGCUAUCGCCAUGGCCAGCAAGAGGAAGUCCACCACCCCGUGCAUGAUCCCCGUGAAGACUGUGGUGCUGCAGGACACCGGCGCCGAGGCCCCGCCCGCGGAGCCCGUGCCCGAGGGGCCCCCGCAGGAGCCGCCCCCAGAAGUUCCCACCGCCAGCGGCGAGGCCACCCAGGGCACCAGCAGUCCGGACAGCGCCGCACUGGCCAACGGGCACCGGAGCACCUUGGACGGCUACACAUAUGCCUGUAAAUGCUGUGACUUCAGAUCCCAGGACAUAACCCGGUUUGUGGGACACCUGAGCUCAGAGCACACAGACUUUAGCAAAGACCCAAACUUUGUAUGCACUGAAUGCAGUUUUCUGGCAAAAACUCCCGAGGGGCUUUCUCUGCACAAUGCCAAGUGUCACUCGGGGGAAGCCAGCUUUGUGUGGAAUGUGGCCAAGCCAGACAAUCAUGUUGUCGUGGAGCAGAGUGUCCCCGAGAGCACCAGCCCUCCCGACCCGUCGGGGGAGCCAAACAUGGAAGGGACGGAUGGACAGGCGGAAAUCAUCAUCACCAAAACUCCAAUCAUGAAGAUAAUGAAAGGCAAAGCCGAAGCCAAAAAAAUUCACACGCUCAAGGAGAACGUCCCCAGUCAGCCUUCUGGGGAGGCCUUACCGAACCCUUCGUCCGGGGACACGGAGGUGAAAGAGGGGGACCACGCCUUUGUCAACGGGGCAGCCCCGGUCAGCCAGGCCUCUACCAACUCCGCAAAACCCCCGCACUCGGCCAACGGGCCCCUGCUGGGGACGGUGCCGGUGCUGCCCGCGGGCAUCGCCCAGUUCCUCUCCCUCCAGCAGCCGCCCCCGCACGCCCAGCACCACGCCCACCAGCCCCUGCCCACGGCCAAGUCCCUCCCCAAAGUGAUGAUCCCCCUGAGCAGCAUUCCCACGUACAACGCGGCCAUGGACUCCAACAGCUUUCUGAAGAACUCCUUCCACAAGUUCCCCUACCCAACCAAAGCCGAGCUCUGCUAUUUGACUGUGGUCACCAAGUACCCGGAAGAACAGCUGAAGAUCUGGUUCACCGCCCAGAGGCUGAAGCAAGGUAUCAGCUGGUCCCCGGAGGAGAUUGAGGACGCCCGGAAAAAGAUGUUCAACACGGUCAUUCAGUCCGUCCCUCAGCCCACAAUCACUGUCCUCAACACCCCGCUGGUUGCCAGUGGCGGCAACGUCCAGCAUCUCGUCCAGCCCACUCUGCCUGGCCACGUGGUGGGCCAGCCAGAGGGCACAGCCGGGGGACUUCUGGUUACUCAGCCACUGAUGGCCAACGGGUUGCAGGCACCCAGCUCAUCUCUCCCCCUGGCAGUCACAUCUGUCCCCAAGCUGCCCGCUGUUGCGCCCAUUAACACUGUGUGUUCAAAUACAACGUCUGCCGUGAAGGUGGUGAAUGCUGCCCAGUCCCUCCUCACGGCGUGCCCCAGCAUCACCUCCCAAGCCUUCCUGGAUGCCAGCAUCUACAAAAACAAGAAAUCUCACGAACAGCUGUCAGCUCUGAAAGGGAGCUUCUGUCGGAACCAGUUCCCAGGACAGAGCGAAGUUGAGCAUCUGACCAAAGUGACCGGCCUCAGCACCCGUGAGGUGCGGAAGUGGUUCAGCGACCGCAGGUACCACUGCCGGAACCUGAAGGGCUCCAGGGCCGGGCUGGCCGGGGAGCACGGUACCCUCCUCGUCGACUCUGUGCCCGAGGUGCCCUUCUCCCUGGCGUCCAAGGCCCCGGAGGUGACCUGCCUCCUGACAGCGGCCACCCCGGCUACCCCCCCUUCUGCCAAGCGACAGUCCUGGCACCAGACCCCCGACUUCACACCAACCAAAUACAAGGAGCGGGCCCCCGAGCAGCUCAGAGCCCUGGAGAACAGUUUUGCACAAAACCCCCUUCCUCUCGACGAGGAACUGGACCGCCUGAGGACUGAGACCAAAAUGACCCGCAGGGAGAUUGAUGGCUGGUUUUCAGAGAGACGGAAAAAAGUGAGUGCCGAGGAGGCCAAGAAGGCUGAGGAGGGUGCCUCUCAGGGGGAGGAGGAGGCCGCCGAGGACGAGGGGGAGGAGGGCUCGGCCAGGGACCCGAGGGUCCCCGGGGAAGACGGCUCCCUGGAAGCGCCCGGCAGCCACGUGCUGGCAGAACGCAAAGUCAGCCCCAUCAAAAUCAACCUCAGGAACCUGCGAGUCACGGAGGCCAACGGCAAGGGCGAGCUCCCGGGGCUGGGCACCUGUGAGCCCGAGGACGACACGCCCAGCAAGCCAGCGGAGCAGCUGCCGGGCAAGGUGAGCUACAGGAAGACGGCCCAGCAGCGGCACCUGCUGCGGCAGCUCUUCCUGCAGACGCAGUGGCCCAGCAACCAGGACUACGACUCCAUCAUGGCCCAGACGGGCCUGCCGCGGCCCGAGGUGGUGCGCUGGUUCGGGGACAGCAGGUACGCCCUGAAGAACGGCCAGCUCAAGUGGUACGAAGACUACAAACGGGGCAACUUCCCCCCCGGGCUGCUGGUCGUCAGCCCCGGCAACCGGGAGCUGCUGCAAGACUAUUACGUGACCCACAAGAUGCUGUACGAGCAGGACCUGCAGAGCCUCUGCGACAAGACCCAGAUGAGCACCCAGCAGGUCAAGCAGUGGUUUGCCGAGAAGAUGGGCGAGGAGACCCGGGCCGUGGCCGACAUGGGUGGUGAGGGCCAGGGCCCCAGCGACCCUGCAGCAGUUCACAAAGGGAUGGGCGACACCUAUUCAGAGGUGUCCGAAAACAGUGAGUCAUGGGAGCCCGGUGCCCCUGAGGCCAGCUCAGAGCCCGUUGACACGCCGAGUCCCCAGGCUGGACCUCAGCUGGAAACUGACUGAACCGGAACCGACGGCUGUGAAGGCCUGGCCAGGGCGGCCGCCCUCCACGUGGAAGGGCCUGACCCCUCUCUGCUGCCAUGGGCCGCUGCCGUACCCAGCCCGCCAGGCUCACACAGGUCUCCACACGGCCAAGCCUGCCGCCGCCCGCACCCGGCCCGCCACCCGGCCCGCCACCCCAGCGAGCAGGGAGGAGCGUCUGUCAGUUCUUCCGCCCACAAUGUAGGACCUUUCCUUUGCCUUCCAGUGGAUAAAUAGUUCAGAUUUCAUAUUCAUAGACACAGAAUCAAGUUUUUAACAUAUAAAUCUGCCUAUACACAUUUAAUAAAACAUCAGAUUAUAAACACUUUCAUUACAUAGAAACUUUGGUUAGCAAAGCAGUACAUGGUCUUUUACAUCAUCUCUGGAAAUGCCCCAUGUCUGUUCUCUGGAGAUCGCUGAGCUGCGUGUUCCCGCACCUUCCACGGUCAGGCCGGGGUUAUCACACGCUCAGAACCGCACCUGCAACCGCUGGGGCCCCCUCUGCGCUCCUCCAGGAAGGCGGCACCUUUGAAUAGACCUCUGCUCCUUAAGCGGUGACCAGCAACAUUGCAUAGCAGGUUUGCCUCGCCUUACGGGAUGAUCGGUGCAGAACCCGCUGUUACCCGCAGUUCAGAAAACUGACCGGUUAUGUGAUUAGUGUUUGAUGCUUACCACUCUCUCUAGACACGUUUAGAGGAAAAUUGACAAGCGAAACAGGGAUGGGGGAUGGGAGUGAAGGCACACAGCCGCUGGGGCUCUCUCUGCCCUCUAUCCACCCUCACUCCAGAGCCGUCUCUGGUUUGGGAAGGAAGGCCCACGCUCGCCUGGUUAGACUGAGAGCUGGCGGGAUUCGGGGACUUCUCGGAAUUAUCGGAGCCGGGUGGCCCUCAGCACAAAGACCUGCAUGUGGAGUUCCCAGCAGAAGACCCAGAGUCCUCCUGGCCCCCGUGCCUGGGGCCUGGUUGGCAUGCUGGACAUCGCUGGACAGGUCCUUGUGAGGAUGUUUUUAAAGUUCUAUAUUUAUAUCCCCAAACUUGGAAACAGGAUCUCUGUCUACUUUAGCCUAACCCUCAUAUCCAUCUUUUUAAUUGAGAAAAGUCACAGGAAAAGGUGCCUUUGAAACAUUGAGAAACUUGCCUACAAAGCUGUGCUAAAUGGUAAAUCCCUAUCUCCCCAAGACUGGCUGCCCUGAGAGCAGCAGGUAAAGAGGGGGCUGGCAAAGGUGCAUCACCUCCCAGAAACCACCUGCUUCUCAGAGCACCAAGGCCUCGGAGACCCCAGAGAGAGGGCAGGGGCUUUGGGCAAGAAAUACUGGGGGGUGGGGGCUGUUCGGCACGGUCCUUCUCCCCCACCCCACCCCCCGGGAACUGGGUCGGGCAGGCACCUCGUGGGUUUGGCUCUGAGCACAGAGAUGGGGGUCGCGCCUCCUGCCUCCAGGAGAGGCUUUUCUUCGUAAACCAAAAGCCCUUGCACCAUUGUUCUUCUAAAGUGUCUCCUCUCACUUGCCCUGUCCCGUUAGGGACCACCUCUUCUUUGUUUCAAACAGGUGACUUGUGAGGACUUGGCAAGUUUGGCAGCCUGUUUUUGUAUCCUUUCCAUAUUUAGCCCCAAGGCCUCUUUGCGGAAUUGCCCAGAAUGGCGAGUGAUUGCCUUCCUUCAGAGAACAGACACCUAGAACUUUUCCUGUAGUGGUUAUGUACAUGCAGAUUAAUUUAUAUGUAUCCAUAUACAGCACAGAUACUCGUUUGAUGCUUUACUCGUGACGCGUACGCCUGACGUGGCACGUGGGUGUUGGGGAGAGCAGCCCGUGUCGGGGAGUUGCGGGGGAGGCCGGGGCGGCCCCGCGCGAAGCCACCUCCGAGUGUCCGCGACACCACCCUGCCGGCGUCACUCCCAGAGCCCUGCGUGCCCCGGCCGAGGGCCGUGUCUUUACAGAGGAGUUUCUUGGUUAUUUUAUUUGUAUUUACGUCAUUUACAACCCAAACAGCGAAACAGAAAACAUAAAUUACAUGGUGGACAGGUUCACGCAGGACGUAGGGCCCCGACCUCAGCACCAGCUCGUCCUUAAAAGGUGGAAGCGUCACGGUGCUGCCCGCGGGCAGGUUUUGCUCACAGGUGUCAGCCUGCCCGCUAGCCAGGGCCACCCCCCAAACGGCGAGACUGCCCAGGCUGGACAGACCCUCCUCCUUCCUUUGCUCUCGGACCCGAGUGACUAAGGAAUGAGGUGAUGGAGACAGAAAUGGUUGGUUCAUCGAGCAGGUGCCUAAAGGGACAUCGCAGCAGGUACCCAGGGCCCUGGGGGCAAAACCAGGAACACAGCCAACCGGCUACAGAGACGCAGGCACAGCAGCCUGGAGCCGGCGCGUGCCAGAGUUCGGUGGGGAUGCAGGACGGCCACAGCCAGCCCCGUGGCCAGGGAGGUCACCACGGUUUGUGCCCCACCCAGGGUUAGACUGUGCUGCUGCCUUCAGGAGAGGGCAGUCUGUGGGCUCUAGAGUUGAGGGAAGUAGGGUGGGGUUAGUCUCUCCCAAAGAAAAAGCUUGUUUUGUAAGGUGACUAAUCUUUCCCCUCUUCUCUGUAUGCACUUGGACUCAUCAGAGAUGGUGAAAUAUGUCAGUGUUUCUUGUUGCCUGUGUCUUGUACAUGUUUGGUUUAUUAUAUUUUUUACAUGGGGUUGUAGAUCCAGUUUUAAUAGGUGUGCCCAGAUCACCAUUCUGAUAAAGGAAACCUGGAUUUAUGAUACAGAUACUUUGCAUACUUUGAUUACGUAUAUUAAUUCUUGACUAUUGAGGAGCUUUGUGAUUUGGAAAGUGGGCUCUCGUUUUCCUGAGUCGUGGGCUCCUGAAGUGGAAAGCCUGGCUGGAGGACUCGUGGCACCUGGGGUGGGUGGCCCUGUAUGACUUGGAGCUCCUUUUGCAGCCAAGUGCCCGCCCUGCUGUCGGGAAGCAAAGGUGGGAGGUGGGCGAGGGUCGGUGGUACCUGCAGGCUCCCGAAUGCGCUCACGGCCCUGGGAGGCCGUCCCACUGGGAAGUCUCAGCAUGUUCUCCAGGCCGAGAUGUGUGUGCCGUGGGCUUUGUCCUGCUCAGUCCGUGGUCCCGUGGCAGGUCCUGUGACACUCCCUCCCCCGUGCGCCAGGCUGCCUUCCACAGAGGCUUAGCAUCGCCCUUUUAGUGCACCUCCUCACAGCUCCCUGCUUGUGCCACCCUGCCUUGGGCCCGGUUGCCUCUUGUCUUCCUGCGCUCUUCUCGGGCCAGAAUCCUCGGGUUGGAGUGGCUUUGUCUCUUCAGACAUCGCAGCCCAAGUGGAUAAAGGCACUUUGCAGGAGAGGAGAACCAGCCAAGAAGAAAAUCUUAAACAAACCAAACCUGGAGUUUGGGCUUUUCCUAAAGUUUCUUCCCCCUUUUUCCUUGCUCAGACUUUACCUGGGGCAGGUUAUUGGUUUGACUAACCUUUUGUAUUAUGUCUAGAUUGUCCUGUAUCCCAUUGAUUGGCAAGGCUCAGUUAUGUGCUGGAGAAGAAAAGUCCUCUAGACACGUAAAGGUCCGCGUGGCCAGCCCUUCCAGGCGGAAGCCGGCAGCCUGCCCAGGUCAGGAGAGUAACGGGGCUCCAUCCUCCCCACUCCCACUGGAGGCCCCUCUCCAGCUCUCCUGAACCGGCUUCCUUCGCUUCCUUUCUCGGGAGCACAGGCCCUCCCAGCCUUCCUGCCCGGGACUGGGGGGCCAUCUCCGUGUGACUCGGGGAGCACCUGCCCUCACAGAAGCUCCAACACCCAAAGAAGUGGGGAGUGUGGAGCCCACACCCUCUCCUGAACGGGCCCCUCCCGGAGCAAGGCUUCAGUCUGUUUUGUCUCCUGUGGUCCAUUCAUAGUAGCCGAGCCGUGCAACAACGCUGGGGCUGAGGCGGCUGCAGGCAACCUCUCAACCAAGGGUUGGUUGCUGACUUGGGCCGAGUGAGUGGAGGGUGGAGGUGGGGAUCAUAGAGCCGCUGGGCUUGCUGCCCGGCCCAGCUCUAGGUCUAGAUGGAACCCACGGACCUCGGUUGGAAUUCGUAUCUGCUGCAAUCUGUGUGUGUUCCCAGUGCCGUCACGCUGGGGAGGGGGCCGAGGGCUGACGGCAGCUCCCCCAGGUUGACCCAGAGUCCGAGCGGGAGGAGGAGCAGGAGGAACGCUCCCCCGGAGGGGGCGGGAGGCGCGCUCUGUGGUUCUUCAACCCUGAAGAACCGGUGACUUGCCUGUCAAUCCGGCCUCUCCUUUGCUUGGAGCCCCAGUCCUGCAGUCAGACUGGAGACCGACAGCCUGGACCCCGCGGGAACCAACCAUCCUACCUGAGCAGGGGUGGGGGCCCAGAGUGGGGGGGUGAGCAGGCGCCGCUGACCCUGUGGACAGGGGCGGGGCCAGCACCUGCUGCCUCGCGUUGUGACUAUCCUAUCUUGUGGUGUGCGGGACCGUGAGGAUUCCUGCGUUGCUGUCCUGGGCCCCAGGCUUUCACAGCCCUCAGGCUGCUCGGGCCAGAGCCCCAUGGGGUGGAGCAGGAGUCUCUCCUGCUGCGCACUCGGGGCAGGUGGCAGGCGGGGACCUGAGAGGGGUCUGCGUGCUUACCUGCCGUGAGCGCCCUUUCCUGAAUUUGGGAGCCGGGCUCCGCCGCGUGUGUGUUGAGUAGCUUUUCUUGGCUAAUGCUUUAUGACGUCUGUUCCUUCCCUUAAUGAGUGGUUUGAAGGCCCCCGAUGUGACCGGAGUUGGAGGUGGAAUGUCUCGGGUGGAGGCCGUCUGGAGUCGAGGAGCACAGGAAGCUGCAGGCCCGUGGUCUUUCUCAGGAGUCGGCGCAGAGCAGGCACCCGCAGAGGGGUGCCUGCUAAUCCUGUAAUUUGUGUUCAGAGAGAGACUGUCAUUCAUCCCCGGCUCCGGCUCCGGCUCCGGCCUGGCCCGGCCCGCGGCCCUGUCCCGCGGUUUGCUGCAGACGUGGCCCGGAGAGCCAGCGCCACCCUCAGCGGAUGCAGCCUGGUCGGCAGGCCACUGGGCGAUGCGGGCGGGGAGGGGUGCUCACCCCCCGGCAGCGGGUUCCCACCCUGCUCCCCAGCACCGCCUUGUUCAGUGCGUCGGGAGGGCCGGACUGUGCCAUCGUUGUUGUUGGAAAGAGACCUCGUCCCCCCCCCAACCACGUGGUUGACUGAAAAGGUACUGAGUGGCGCGGCCUUUGUGCAAGUCGGGAAGAGGUUGCCAGAGGCCUGCAGGUUCCUGGUUUUCUGCCACCCACUACCGGUCUGGUCUUCAGCUCAGACCCUUUGUUCCCUGAGGGCGAGGGUAUCUGUGGAAGGGAGGCUGGAGAGGGCAGGGGCAGCUGGCUUGUGGUGCGCUUCCCGUCUCCCGGAGACGCCGAAGAAGCCAUCGUCUUGGUGCUAAGAGGCCACUGCCCGGCUUCUGUUUGUCCAGAGGGCCCGUCCUCCUGCAGUGGCUGCAUGUGAGAGACCAAACCGAGAGAGAGGCACAGGCACACUUCGGCUGUCACCGGGCCUGGCUGGAAGGGGGUUCUUCGCCCUGGGGAAAUGUUUUUAACAGAAAGAUGGAACUUGCCUUUGGACCGGGGCUGUGCCGGGGCAGGAGGAGUGGGCUGCCCUCUCCGGGCUGAGUCUCCGGGCCUCACAAGGUCCCCUGUGGGGAUGCUGCUAUUUCUAAGAUGCAAAUUGCACAUUUCCUAGAUUUUGUAUCUGUGGAUUUGGAUAAGGGAGGGGAACAGGGACAAACUGCUUGUACAAUUUGAAAUGGGCCGAAAUGGUACUGAAAAUCUUUCGAUUGCUCCUGAAUAAAAACGUAAACACA